rnacentral:rRNA from 2 species
UUCCCUUCGGGGACAGUGGUGACAGGUGGUGCAUGGUUGUCGUCAGCUCGUGUCGUGAGAUGUUGGGUUAAGUCCCGCAACGAGCGCAACCCUUGAUCUUAGUUGCCAUCAUUUAGUUGGGCACUCUAAGGUGACUGCCGGUGACAAACCGGAGGAAGGUGGGGAUGACGUCAAAUCAUCAUGCCCCUUAUGACCUGGGCUACACACGUGCUACAAUGGACGGUACAAACGGUUGCCAACCCGCGAGGGGGAGCUAAUCCGAUAAAACCGUUCUCAGUUCGGAUUGUAGGCUGCAACUCGCCUACAUGAAGCCGGAAUCGCUAGUAAUCGCGGAUCAGCAUGCCGCGGUGAAUACGUUCCCGGGUCUUGUA